UUCCUCCUCCAGCCACAGAAAUUUAUGUGUCAACUAACUUCUUUUUCCACUCUGCAGCCAUGCAGUCCUUACCUAUCUUGCCUGUGCGUUUCCUGGAGUUACAGAUCAUUGGUAAGCAGAGUUCGUCAUAUUUUGCAGUCAAUUUCUUUGAUUAGGCUCUGCGUGAGUCUUGUCAAUGUUCAAAGUUUUGAAUUGGAAAUGUAACAGAAUUAUAAUGACUGAGGCUGAUUUUCAAGACAUGCAUAUAAGUUGAUGUCUAGAUAGUCUAGAUGCAUAUAAAAGCAUAAAACAAGCAUAAAAUAUGAGUGCUAAGAAAGUUUUUGGAUUGCCAAUAGCAAGUUACUUUUAUUCAACCAAAUGUCAUAUUUUGCACUCAGUUCUUAAUAGUUUUCCAUGUGCACUAAAGGUAUCCUGCUGAUCUUCGCAAGAGAGCCAAGGUUCAAUCUGUGUUAGACUGGCACCAUUCUACC
rnacentral:lncRNA from 1 species